rnacentral:rRNA from 1 species
AUUGAACGCUGGCGGCAUGCCUAACACAUGCAAGUCGAACGAGUGGCGGACGGGUGAGUAAUGUCUGUGAAACUGCCUGAUGGAGGGGGCUAACUACUGGAACCGGUAGCUAAUACCGCAUACCAUCGGAUGUGCCCUGAUGGGAUUAGCUAGUAGGUGGGGUAACGGCUCACCUAGGCGACGAUCCCUAGCUGGUCUGAGAGGAUGACCAGCAACACGGGAACGGAGACACGGGCCAGACUCCUACGGGAGGCAGCAGUGGGGAAUAUUGCACAAUGGGCGAAAGCCUGAUGCAGCCAUGCCGCGUGUAUGAAGAAGGCCUUCGGGUUGUAAAGUACUUUCAGCGGGGAGGCGUUACCCGCAGAAGAAGCACCGGCUAACUCCGUGCCAGCAGCCGCGGUAAUAC